GAUGAACGCUGGCGGCGUGCCUAAUACAUGCAAGUCGAGCGAACAGACGAGGAGCUUGCUCCUCUGACGUUAGCGGCGGACGGGUGAGCAACACGUGGAUAACCUACCUAUAAGACUGGGAUAACUUCGGGAAACCGGAGCUAAUACCGGAUAAUAUAUUGAACCGCAUGGUUCAAUAGUGAAAGACGGUUUUGCUGUCACUUAUAGAUGGAUCCGCGCCGCAUUAGCUAGUUGGUAAGGUAACGGCUUACCAAGGCAACGAUGCGUAGCCGACCUGAGAGGGUGAUCGGCCACACUGGAACUGAGACACGGUCCAGACUCCUACGGGAGGCAGCAGUAGGGAAUCUUCCGCAAUGGGCGAAAGCCUGACGGAGCAACGCCGCGUGAGUGAUGAAGGUCUUCGGAUCGUAAAACUCUGUUAUUAGGGAAGAACAAAUGUGUAAGUAACUAUGCACGUCUUGACGGUACCUACUCAGAAAGCCACGGCUAACUACGUG
rnacentral:rRNA from 1 species